rnacentral:rRNA from 1 species
ACGGGUGAGUAACGCGUAUGCAACCUACCUAGUCAGAGGGGAAUAACCCGGCGAAAGUCGGACUAAUACCGCAUAAAACAGGGGCACCGCAUGGUGAUAUUGUUAAAGAAUUCGCUGAUAGAUGGGCAUGCGUUCCAUUAGGUAGUGGUGAGGUAACGGCUCACCAAGCCGACGAUGGAUAGGGGAACUGAGAGGUUGGUCCCCCCACACUGGUACUGAGACACGGACCAGACUCCUACGGGAGGCAGCAGUGAGGAAUAUUGGUCAAUGGGCGGGAGCCUGAACCAGCCAAGUCGCGUAGAAGGAAGAAGGAUCUAUGGUUCGUAAACUUCUUUUGCAGGGGGAAUAAAGUGCAGGACGUGUCCUGUUUUGUAUGUACCCUGAGAAUAAGGAUCGGCUAACUCCGUGCCAGCCGCCGC